GCAAACAGAAAAUCAGCAUAGCGUUUUGGAUACUAUAAAAGUAAGUAGACGACAGCGUCUUCGUAAACAAUCACUGGUUCAAGCAUAUAUAGGCCGAUCAACAUGUGUUGCCUGAAAUUAUGGCGAUGCCUUUGCUGCGGAAGUGCAUGCAAGAAAGAGAAGAAAACAGAUUGCCUUGACGUGAUCCUAGCAAUCCUGCUGCCUCCAGCUAUGAUAUAUAGAAAGGAAGGCUUCUCGUGCAAUUUCUGGAUAUCUGUAAUUCUGACGGUGACAGGGUACGUGCCGGGAAGCGUCCACGCUGUGAUCGUCAUAUCUUCGAAUUGAGCUUUAUAACCUUAUUUAUUGAACUGUAAAAGAUUACGUACUUGAAGAAGGGUUUCCUCCGUUUUCUUGUAUGUCUUGCUGAAUCUUUUCUCCAUAUUUUGUAUAAACGGCAUGGGCUGUUGGCCGGACAACGGCAUUAUUCGUGCCAGGAAGCGUCUACCCGCGGGUGAUAUUGUUGCAAACAAGGAAUCAACUGAACAAGAUAAACUUUAAUUUUGACUAUGAAUGUAAUGUUUGGGUGAAUGAAUCCUGUGUUCUUGAAUGCCUCAAACAAGAAUAAAGGUCGCUUCUUGUUCUUGUUUGAAAAAUUUUGGCUUA